GGGGACGAAAGGGAUCGACAGGAGCCAACGGACGCGGUUUGCGGGUCGAGGUGCCAUCACCCUCGUUAAUCAGGUGGCAAAAGGUAACUGGCGACCGACAACUCGCCCUCGCUGCCUAACCGCAGCGACGUCGACCCGGGCCCCCUCCCGGCGGGCCCGGUGAGGCGACGAUAAGCCGGGAUGCGCGAGCGGCGCGCGCCUCGGGCGCCGCCCGCUAAGCUCACCGAGACUGGUCGGCGCACCCCUGGUCAGCGGAGGCGCGCCGGCGAGAUCUACCGCUGACUACACCCGUAGCAGAUCCGUGGCGGACGCUCGCUGGACGGGGAGUUCGAUUCUCCCCCGUCUCCACCA
rnacentral:tmRNA from 1 species